UACGAAGGGGGCUAGCGUUGCUCGGAAUCACUGGGCGUAAAGCGCACGUAGGCGGCUUGCUAAGUCAGGGGUGAAAUCCUGGAGCUCAACUCCAGAACUGCCUUUGAUACUGGCGAUCUUGAGUCCGGGAGAGGUGAGUGGAACUCCGAGUGUAGAGGUGAAAUUCGUAGAUAUUCGGAAGAACACCAGUGGCGAAGGCGGCUCACUGGCCCGGUACUGACGCUGAUGUGCGAAAGCGUGGGGAGCAAACAGG
rnacentral:rRNA from 1 species